AGCAGCAGCCACGGUAAUACAGAGGGUGCGAGCGUUAAUCGGAUUUACUGGGCGUAAAGCGUGCGUAGGCGGCUUUUUAAGUCGGAUGUGAAAUCCCUGAGCUUAACUUAGGAAUUGCAUUCGAUACUGGGAAGCUAGAGUAUGGGAGAGGAUGGUAGAAUUCCAGGUGUAGCGGUGAAAUGCGUAGAGAUCUGGAGGAAUACCGAUGGCGAAGGCAGCCAUCUGGCCUAAUACUGACGCUGAGGUACGAAAGCAUGGGGAGCAAACAGGAUUAGAUACCCCUGUAGUCCCUGUCUCUUAUAU
rnacentral:rRNA from 1 species